UUAAUUGUUUCUUACAACUCAUUAUUGUUAAAAAAAUAUUUAAUUAAAGUUAACAAAAUAAAAUUGUUACUUAUAAAGCAAUAAAAAGUUAUAAGCACUACAUGCAAAGGAGAAAAAACAUGGCUCAAUUUCUCAUGUUUGUUUAUGCUUUGAUCUUCUUUCUUUCUAUAUUUCUUGCUACAGCUAGUAAAACUCUCUAUAAGUGUGAAAAGAUAGAAGAUUGCCCGGAGAUGUUUAUGCAUCCAGUAAAAAAGUGCAUUAAUAAUUAUUGUGAGUACGAGAAGGAGUAAUAUUAAGUUUAAAAAUAAUUAUGUUAUUCUUUUCAAAAUAACUUCAAAGCAUACAAUUAUAUUUGUAUGUCAUAAUAUUUGUACUUCAAUAACUUAUUUCGAAAUUUAAUAUAUGUUUUUCUUUCCUUUAAGUUUUUUUUAUGAAAAUAUCAAAAGAAUGUAUAAUUAUACUAGUCAGAGACCCGUGCUUCCGCACGGGUGAUUUUUUUUUUGGUGUAGUAUUUUUGUAAUGAUAUGAAUAAUAUAAAUAAAAGGAAUUAUAAGCAAUA